UACAGAGGUGGCAAGCGUUGUUCGGAAUUACUGGGCGUAAAGGGCGCGUAGGCGGUUCGAUAAGUCCCGUGUGAAAUCCCUCGGCUCAACUGAGGAACUGCACGGGAAACUGACGGGCUUGAGUUCGGGAGAGGGAAGCGGAAUUCCGGGUGUAGCGGUGAAAUGCGUAGAUAUCAGGAAGAACACCGGUGGCGAAGGCGGCUCGCUGGGCCAGUUCUGACACUCAUCCGCGAAAGCGUGGGGAGCAAACAGG
rnacentral:rRNA from 1 species